UGUAAACAUCCUACACUCAGCUAUAACAAGUGGUAGGGCUGGGGGGUGGAUGUUUACUUC
rnacentral:pre_miRNA from 1 species